rnacentral:rRNA from 1 species
CCUACGGGUGGCUGCAGUGGGGAAUAUUGGACAAUGGGGGGAACCCUGAUCCAGCCAUGCCGCGUGUGUGAAGAAGGCCCUCGGGUUGUAAAGCACUUUCAGUGAGGAAGAACGCCUGGUGGUUAAUACCCAUCAGGAAAGACAUCACUCACAGAAGAAGCACCGGCUAACUCCGUGCCAGCAGCCGCGGUAAUACGGAGGGUGCGAGCGUUAAUCGGAAUUACUGGGCGUAAAGCGCGCGUAGGUGGCUUGAUAAGCCGGUUGUGAAAGCCCCGGGCUCAACCUGGGAACGGCAUCCGGAACUGGCAAGCUAGAGUGCGGGAGAGGAGGGUAGAAGGCCCGGUGGAGCGGUGAAAUGCGGAGAGAUCGGGAGGAAUACCAGUGGCGAAGGCGGCCGUCUGGACUGACACUGACACUGAGGUGCGAAAGCGUGGGUAGCAAACAGGAUUAGAUACCCUGGUAGUC